ACGAUGCGUCUUCUUGAUACAUUAAAAUUAAUAUAUUUUAUUUUGAAAGCAAGUUUAGAGAGAUAAUAAAGAUAAUAGUUUAAUAAAGUUAUUACACAGAAAAUAUAUUUUGUAAAGGCAAAGAUAAAUAAGGAUUGUUUAAAAUACUUGAGACAAACUGUAGGUUUUCCAGAAAUUAUGUUUCCAUCUACAAAUAUUUAAAAAAUGUGGCAUAAUUUUGUGGAGAAGCUGUUAAUGGAUAUCAAAUUAAUCUAAUAUUUAAUGAAAAUUUUUAUAAAGUUUCUAUUAGUUACCUUAAAAGUGAUUAAUAAUUUUAAAAAAUCUAUGGAAUUAUGUUUAUAAAUUCUGAAAUCAAUCAAUAGUAUGACGUCAAUAAUAUGACGAUAAUUAUGAUCAUAUUUUUAAAUUUCAUAAUAAAAUAUAAAAUUGUAAAAUUAUAUUAUAAAUUUAUACCAGCGUUAUUUUUUAUUUUAAUUUUGAUAUUUUAAAAGAAACAUCCUUAAAAUUCGUUACUCGUACCUGAAAUAUACGUGAAAUAUUCAUAUAUAUCAUUUAUGUAUAUAAAUGAAAUAAAAUGUUUCAAUUCUAUACAUAAUGUAUUUUUAUUAUUUUCAUGUGUGGUUAAAAGAGGUGUAAAAUAAUGGAAAAACAAUGUGGAAAAUGUUAAAAAUAAGAAUAUUAAGAAUAAGUUAAUAAUAAGAGAUAAGAAUAGGAAAUGUAAUUUUUAUUUAUGAUUAUGAAUAAUUAUAAUACACAAAUUCCUGAAUAUAAUGCGUUUUUCCGAAAAUUUUUUUAGUAACUUAUUUAACAUAUAUAAAAGAGCAUGUUUAUGACGCUUAAUGUAUAAAUUAUAUAUGAACUUUAUUUAUUUUUAAUUUAAUUAGCUAUGCUUUAGAAGACAGUGAUUUGUAAAAGAUGCUUUAUAUAUAUAUAUACAAACGAUUUGUUACAUUAAUAAUAAUAUAAGUUAUAAUAAAAAGUAUUUGUGAGUGUAUUGACGUUAUUGC